rnacentral:rRNA from 1 species
GACGAACGCUGGCGGCGUGCCUAAUACAUGCAAGUCGAACUCUGAAGGAGGAGCUUGCUCUUCUGGAUGAGUUGCGAACGGGUGAGUAACGCGUAGGUAACCUGCCUGGUAGCGGGGGAUAACUAUUGGAAACGAUAGCUAAUACCGCAUAACAGUAGAUGUUGCAUGACAUUUACUUAAAAGGUGCAAUUGCAUUACUACCAGAUGGACCUGCGUUGUAUUAGCUGGUUGGUGGGGUAACGGCUCACCACGGCGACGAAACAGACCCGACCUGGGAGGGUGUUCGGCCACAUGGGAACGGGGACAGGGCCAGGACUCUUACGGGAGGAACCGUAGGGGAACUUUGGGCAUGGGCGGAAGGCCGGACGAAGAAAGGCGGCGGGGGGAAGGAGGGUCUCGGAACGGAAAACUCGUUUUUAAGGGGAGAAAGAGUGUGAGAGUGGAAAGUUCACACUGUGACGGUACCUAAACAGAAAGCGACGGCUAACUACGUG